CCAAAGGAAGAACAAAGGAAGAAAAGAAAGAACAAGAACCCUAGAGUGAAAAUUUAAGAGAAAAUUUGUGGAUUUCAAGUAAUCAAGCAAUCAAAGGUAAAAUUUCUUGAUUUUGACUUGUGAUCUACCUUUCCUUUGCAUUCUUUUGCAUUUUCCAUGGUUGAAUCACAUGGUUUCAUGAUGGGUCCCUUGCUGGCCGGACAUGGGGGGAGGAGUUUUGAUGCUUGAUUUGGUUAGAUUUUAAGAUAUUUUAGUGUUUUUAGUUAGUUAGUGAUGUGUAGCAAGAAAAACCAACAAGAAAAAUUCAUUUUCUCCCAUUACCCAUCAUUUGCUGAAUUCUCCAUGUGGAAUACUGAUGAUGAUUUUGAUUUUAUUUCAAGUGAAUUGAUGACGAAAUGAUGAAUUAUGGUGAGAAAAUCGAGUAGGAAAACUCAUAGUGUUGAUGCACCCACCAUGGCCAAAAUUUCCAAGAGAAAAUGUGAAGAUAAUUUUGCUAAAUUUUAUGUUAUUUGACUUGUGCUUGAUGGUUUGGAGAAUUGGAAGAAAAAUGGAGUUAAUUGGAGUUGAAUUGGACAUAUUGGCCAAUUAAUUGAGUGAUAGAUCGAAUUAGGCCAAUACUGUUUUAUUCAGAUACACAAUUGAAUUUGUGUAGAACACCGUAUUUAAACGAUAAUCCAAACAAUUUGCAUUCCAUUUCAUGCAUCCAUAUAAUUUUAUAACGAUUUAACACCAAUGUGGUAAAUUGCUUGAUUUUGCAUUAUGUCUAGGUGGUGAAUCCUUUGAUAAAGGCAAAGAAAUUGUACCCAAGGAUCGAUAGUUGGAGUACUCUAAAAAUUCGACUUCCAAAAUAGUGAGUAACCUUGUCAUCAUUUUAAUUAUCUAAAGUAUGUUUUAUUCGAUUUUUGUGAAUUUUAUAGAAAAUGAGUUUAAAUGGUUAAUUUUUAGGCUUUAUAAACAAAAUGUGAUUUAAUGAAAAGAUUUUAUAAAUUGUCUUGAAAUUGAAUGAUGGAUUUGAAAAUAGAGUAACUGGAGACCACUUGAUGUGUUGUAAAUUUAUAGUUCUAAUUGAUGGCUUAUGAUAAUGUGUUGGCAUGACUGGUUGGAAUUGUGGUUUGUGAACUGUAUGAAUUAUUAUGUUUUACAUUUUCAGACUGGGUAGUAUAAUAUUAGUCAUGUCAUACUGUCAAAAUUUUAUUGUAUGGUGGGUUUAGCUUGCUGCAGUGGGUGGGUUCUGUGGAUCAGCCUAUUAGAGGGGCACAAAAUCCGGUUAUAUAUGUACCUCAGUCGGAGAGGCACGUAGGGUAUCUCAUAAGGUAUGGUUAGAGUUCACGUCACGCCGAACCACCUCGUGAUGAUGAACUCCGUUAAUGCCAAGGAACGGCUAUGUUUCUCAAAUUAAAAAUAUAUUUAUGUGUACACGAAAUUUUUAACAGCCCUGACAGACUCGAUUAAAUGCCUCGGCCAAGGUAUUCCCGAG
rnacentral:lncRNA from 1 species